GCUCCCCAGAAGAGAAUGGCUCUGAGAAACAGCUCCUCAGUGACUGAGUUUAUCCUUGUGGGAUUAUCAGAACAAUUAGAGCUGCAGCUCCCCCUCUUCCUACUGAUCUUAGGGAUCUAUGUGUUUACUGUGGUGGGCAACUUGGGCCUGAUCAUCUUAAUUGGGCUGAAUUCUAGCCUUCACACUCCUAUGUACUUUUUCCUCUUCAACUUGUCUUUUAUAGAUCUCUGUUUUUCCUGUGUGUUUACCCCCAAAAUGCUGAAUGGUUUUGUGUCAGAAAACUUCAUUUCUUAUGUGGGAUGCAUGACUCAACUAUUUUUCUUCUGUUUCUUUGUCAAUUCUGAGUGCUGUGUGUUGGUAUCGAUGGCUUAUGAUUGCUAUGUGGCUAUCUGCAAUCCUCUGCUGUACACGGUCACCAUGUCGCCUCAUGUCUGUUCUCUGAUGAUGUUUGGUUCGUAUGUGAUAGAGUUUUCUGGGGCCAUGGCCCACACCAGAAACAUACUGAGACUGACCUUCCAUGAUUUCAACAUCACUGACCAUUAUCUGUGUGAAGUCCUCCCCCUCUUGCAGCUCUCCUGCACCAGCAUCCACAUCAAUGAGCUGGUGUUUUUUAUUGUUGUUGGAGUGGUCAUCACAAUAUCCCUUAUCAGUAUAUUCAUCUCAUGCUUUGAUUCUCUCCAGUAUUCUCCGUAUUCCUUCCACUGAGGGCAGGUCCAAAGCCUUUAGCACAUGUGGCUCCCACGUUGCUGUGACUCUGUUCUUUGGGUCAGGGGCAUUCACCUAUUUAAAAACCUCUUUUCCUGGACCUAUGGACCAGAAUAAAUUUGCCUCAGUCUUCUACACCAGUGUGGUUCCCAUGCUUAUCCUCUGAUCUACAGUUUGAGGAAUAAGGAUGUUAAAGUUGCUCUGAGAAAAACCCUGAAGAGAGUGCUCUUCUGAUGGUUCUGUUU